AGUGACUGUACGUGUCAUCAAUUGGUUGGACAAACCGAUUAAUAGAGAUAAAAAUAUUUUUUGAUGGUCCAUUGAUUUUUUUUCCCUUUCUUUGAAAUCGAUUUGUUCUUUGAAAUCGAGAAUCUCCUUCAACAAAUCGGUGUUUAUUGAAGCUAUGUCUAAACGAACAGCAGAGACGACUCUGUCACCUGGAAUCCAAAGAAACAGAGCACUCUUUUACUAAUCACAUAUCUCAAGUAACUAAGCUUUUGUCUCAAGCUUGGCUCCGUGAUUGUUGAUGUGUGGAUACUCUGAGUGUGAUGGAAGCUAUGUGGUUUGUGAGAGGUCUCUUUACUUCUGCAACUGGUGGCCCCACUGGACCACCUUCUUAAAGCUUUGUGAGGGCUGAAAUGCGACCAAGCGGGUUCCUUAAAUGAACAAACUUGCAAUGAUGGACUGAAAUGGAGUCUGCUACCACAUAUUCGACCAUGAAGAAAGAUAUACAAACCCAGAUAGGCUAAGCUGCUUCUAAUGGUUAUCCUGAAAAUUGAUCUGACAUUGUUUGUUUUUGGACAACUUUGGCAUGUUUUCAUUUUUGUUUCACAUUUAUUUGUUUUACACAUUUUUAUGAUGGAAAAAUUUUAAUUUCAAAAAACUAUAUUUUCAAAAAUAAAAGACUCGAAAUUAUAUCCCAUCAUUGGAAGGGAUAAUUUUAAUUAAGA